rnacentral:lncRNA from 1 species
CGACGUUAGAAUUUCCAACAUAGGGUAACCCUGUGCAUCCAAACAGAGUUUUUUAGGUUUCUCGGAAGAUCCUUCAUCCGUCGAAUCUUCCGAUAUGGGUUCAGAAUUUUUCGAUACUAGAACAUCUACUCGAAGGUAUCCGGACUUUGAAUCGAACCCAUAUAUGUUAUUUUAUCAUCUCGACAAGAGAAACGAACUAGUGAGAUCCAUUUAGCAUUUUCACAACUUCAUAAAAAUAGACAAAUUUAGUUGUCAACACUAUGGUACACCGAUAGCUUUUAGGAUUAUGAAAAAAAAAUCAAUUUUAUUUACAAUGAGAGAUCACUGUAUUUCGAUGUCAAUUAUAAUUAUUCUCUGCAUCUACAUGCCUAGAGAGAUGUUUUUGUUAUUUUAUUUUAUUUUAUUUUAUUUUUCAGUUCAUUUUUACGUUGGCUUUACAAGUUAUUGCUAAGCAUUCUCAGUAAUAUGAUGCGUCUGU